ACGUCCCAAGCUUGCGAUAAGCA
rnacentral:rRNA from 1 species